rnacentral:rRNA from 1 species
CGGGUGAGUAACACGUGGAUAACCUACCUAUAAGACUGGGAUAACUUCGGGAAACCGGAGCUAAUACCGGAUAAUAUAUUGAACCGCAUGGUUCAAUAGUGAAAGACGGUUUUGCUGUCACUUAUAGAUGGAUCCGUGCCGCAUUAGCUAGUUGGUAAGGUAACGGCUCACCAAGGCAACGAUGCGUAGCCGACCUGAGAGGGUGAUCGGCCACACUGGAACUGAGACACGGUCCAGACUCCUACGGGAGGCAGCAGCA